rnacentral:pre_miRNA from 1 species
CACAUAAGGGACGAUACAGACAGGACAAUCUUUCAACUUCAACAACAUUUAUUUUAGUUUGAAGGCGAAAAUAAAUGUUGUUGAAGUUGAAAGAUUGUCCUGUCUGUAUCGUCCCUUAUGUGUCU